AAAGAAAUGGCCGAGUUUCAAGCGGUAAGCUGUAGACUUACUUCACGGGUGGCAAACCCUUUCUUUA
rnacentral:tRNA from 1 species